GACAUGGAAAGUCUGAUGUAGCUCUGACCUGGCAUUUGGAAGUUAUUGCACAUUCAUGUUUCAUGGAGAAAAGUCAAAGUUUGACACGUAGCCACGCCCACAUGCUUUGAUGUACGAGAAUUCUUUUGAUAACUUUUCAUCUACAAUGUCUGAACAGUGUGCUGAGUUAGUUUGAAGUCUGUAUCUCAAAAGCUCUAGGAGGAGUUCGAUCAGAUGCGAAGUGUAUGAAAAACAGGAAAUGGCGGGUUUUAUCCAAAAUGGCCGACUUCCUGUUGGGUUUGCACCAUGGGUCCAAGAGACUUUUUUGUACAUCCUGACAAGAUACACAUGUGUACCCAGUUUCAUAUUUCAAGGUUAAAACAUGGCUUGGGGCUGAUCAUUUAAAAAAUUCUAGGGGGCGCUGUAGAGAAAUUAGGCCACGCCCAUCAACGACUGUUAUGUAUUCCUGUUCGGGGAUGGAUAAGGAUGCAUCCUAGUGAGUUUGGUGCAGCUGGACUCAAAAUUGUGGGAUCUAGAGCCAAUCGUAUAGCAAAUGCGUUGCUAUACGAUUGGCUCUAUAGCAAUUGCAUAGCACUUCGCCACGCCGCCACGCCCACCUCCUCCAUCAAAAACAAACGGGGUUGGAAUCCACAACACACCAACAUGGGUCAGAAAGGGACCGUUCAGAGUAAAACAUGACACUUCCUGUUAUCAGGGGGUGUGGCCUAAGUGAUGUCAUCAAUUGACCAUUGGGUAUUGUAGGGGACCCGACGAUGAUCAAUCACUGAAAGUUUGGUGCCUCUCAGAGUUUUUGUGUAAGAGUUAUGACAGUUUCGUGUUUCAUGGCGAAUAGGUUAACUUUGACCCCAGGAAACCCCCCUUUAUCAGGCACGAAAACGCAAACCUUUGAUAACUUUUAAUCAGCCAUGCCAUAUGAACGAUCUGACCGAGUUUGAAGCCGAUCGAUCGAAAUCCCUAGGACAAGUUCGAUCAAAUGCGAACCCUGUAAACGGCCAAAAUCGGGUCAAAAUUGGAACUUCAAUCCAAAAUGGCCGACAUUCUGUGAUACUUGCACUAUGACAUUAAUUGUAAAUUCUGAGUGUCUUGGGGAGCUCUACAAGUGUACCGAAUUUCAAGUCUCUACGAUGAAGUAAGGUAAUAGGAAAGGGUCUUUUGAAAGUUGCUAGGUGGCGCCGUUGAGCUGUUUCCUAUGCGAUUUUUGCAUUGACCUUAAAAUACGUAAAUUUUUCACAGUCUCAAUGCGCCCGCCAAGUUUGGUAAGUUUUUGAAUAUGAUAAAGCCUCCAAAAAGCCAAUUUAUUUUACGGAAGAA